rnacentral:rRNA from 1 species
GACGAACGCUGGCGGCGUGCUUAACACAUGCAAGUCGAACGGAAAGGCCCUGCUUUUGUGGGUUGCUCGAGUGGCGCACGGGGGAGUAACACGUGAGUAACCUGCCCUUGUCUUUGGGAUAACUUCAGGAAACUGGGGCUAAUACCCGAUAUGAGCUCCUGCUGCAUGGUGGGGGUUGGAAAGUUUCGGCGGUUGGGGAUGGACUCGCGGCUUAUCAGCUUGUUGGUGGGGUAGUGGCUUACCAAGGCUUUGACGGGUAGCCGGCCUGAGAGGGUGACCGGGCACAUUGGGACUGAGAUACGGCCCAGACUCCUACGGGAGGCAGCAGUGGGGAAUAUUGCACAAUGGGCAGAAGCCUGAUGCAGCAACGCCGCGUGCGGGAUGACGGCCUUCGGGUUGUAAACCGAUUUCGCCUGUGACGAAGCGGGAGUGACGGUAAUGGGUAAAGAAGCACCGGCUAACUACGUG